rnacentral:lncRNA from 1 species
GGAAUUGUGAAGCAGAAAGGGUGAGCACAACUAGCCCAGUAAAGAAUAUCAUGACUAAAGAUAAUUAAAUUAUCAAUAGCUUUCAUCAAUAAUAAAUCAGAGAUUUAGAACAUAUGGUAGAUGAUAAAACUUUUUAAUCAUAGUUGCAGAGGAACGAGCAAUCCAUUAGAAAAGUCAAAUAGACCAUAAGGUCUAUUAUCUUCUCUAUGUUAAAAGUCCACCAAUAAUGUUUUAUCCCUGUAAAAUAAAUCAACAGUUCCUGUCCACAAUCAUAUGAAUAACUCAUAAUCAUAAUUGUGGUUCUAAAUUCC